CAAUGACAAUAUUAGCAGUAUAUAGUAUAUUCUUAGGAUAUUAUAGAGAUAAUGUAACUUUCCAUUUAACAAUGGGAUUACCUCAUACUAAUACAUUUAUAGAAACUGAGUAUACAAUACCAGCUAUAUUUAAAUUAUUACCUUUAAUAUUAGGAUUAUCAUUAUCAUUACUAUUAGUAUACAUAUAUGAAUUCUCAUAUAAAAUAAAUAAAUCAAGUAUAUACAAUUACUUUAACCAACGUAUAUAUUAUGAUCAAUUAUUAAAUAACAUAGUAAUAAGAUCAGUAUUAAAUAUAGGAGGUAAAUUAAAUUAUUAUGUAGAUAAUGGUUUACUGAAAGUAUUAGGAAGUACAGGAGUAAGUAGAUUAUUAAUAAAUAUACCAGUAUUAUUAAUAAUAAAUUUAUUAUAUUUAUUCAUAGUUAAUUAUAUAAAAAUGUAUAAGGUGAUAUAUUGAAAAAAGGUAUAUGAAAAUAAUAUUAUUUUAAGGAUCUAAAACUAAUACUUAAGUUGAUAGAAAGGUUCAGAAAGGACCAAUCAGAUCAUGAAAAUGAGUAAUACAAAUCGAGUGGAAUGAAACAUCUGAGUAGCUCGAAAGUAACCAACAGGGGCUAUAUAAGUAACGGUGAGUGAAAGUAUAGUAGUCUAAAAGUAUCAUCAAGAGGUGAGAAUAAAGUAGUGUCUACUACUAAGACGAUAAAUAAGUAUUAAGUAAAAAGUACCGUGAGGGAAAAGGAGGAAAUAGAAUAAUAGAGAGCAGUCAUAGUAUGGCGUACCUCUUGUAUAAUGGGCCAGUGAGUUAUAUAUAUUAGCGUAAUAAUAUAAAUUAUAAAGAAAUUGAGUUAAUCAAUCUAUAGUUAAUAUAUAUAGGCCCGAAAGCAAACGAUCUACACAUGUCUAAGAUCUAUAAUAUAGAGUCUGAAUAGGUGGAUGUAGCAAUAUCCUCUAAAGAGGUGUGUGUAGGAGUGACAGACAAAUCUGGUUUGCCGAUAGCUGGUUUUCUGCGAAAUAUAUAUUAGUAUAGCCUUUACAAAAUUGUAAUAACUGGUACAGCACUUAAAUCAUUCCCUUUUAGGAGGGAUGAUAACCUCGAGAGAGGUCAUCAUUUUGGGGGAUUAUAAUAUAAUUUUAUCAAAAGAUUUUAACCUCGGAACAGUAAACCACAAAGUAAGGAGUCAGACUUAUUGCGAUAAGGUAGUAGGUCUAAAAGGAAACAACCUAGACUAUUAAAUAAAUGUCCCAAAUAAAUAUUAAGUGAACAAAAUCUAAUAAUUUUAGAUAGACAAUCAGUCAGCGGGUUUGACAAUAAUCAUCUGUUAAUGGACAUGUAACAAUGCACUGAUGUGACAUAAUUAUUAGAGAAAAUAUACGGGUCUAAAUAUUUAACAUUAUUAUAGAUAUAAAUAUAAAUAUAUUUAUAUGGUAGCAGAAUAUAUGAUAAAUAAGAUAUAAUCAUAAAGAGAUUGCUGGCUUGAGUAACGAUAGGUAGUAUAAGACUACCCUCCAAGGAACUAUUUAUAAUAGUUUAAGAAUCAUAAGGUUUUAAAAUAAACUAACGGUCCCUAAGAUAGGUAUAGAAAUAUAUAAUUGAUGGGAGAUAGAACAGGAAAAGUAAAAGAACCGUACUGUAAACCGACACAGGUAUGAUAAUAGGAGAAUGAGACAACUACUGUGAAUGAACUCGGCAAAUUAGCAUAAAGCUUUUAGUCGUGCGACUGUUUACCAAAAACAUAGCUUACUGCGUUCUAGAAAUAGUAAGUAUAGUAAGUGAUAUCUGCCCGGUGUAUGCCUAAUAUAUUUAAUAUAUAAUAAGUAUAUUAUUUGAAAAGGUAUGUUAACGGCGGUCUUAUUGUGAGGAUCCGAAGGUAGCGAAAUUCAUUGACGCAUAAUUGGUGUCCUGCAUGAAUGAAUACACGAUGCGACAACUGUAUCCAUAGUAGACUCAGUGAAAUAGCAUUCGCGGUGAAGAUGCCGUGUACCCGUAGUUUGACAAAAAGACCCUAUGCAGCUUUACUAUAUCUUUAUUUUGAUUUGACAACUUUAUAUUUCAGUAUAUUAGGUCAUUAUAUUUAUUUAUAUAAAUUAAUAAUAAAAAUGAGAUACCUAUAUUUAAAGUAAUAGAAUCUUAUCUUUUAAUUUAUAAUAAUAAUAUGUAUAUAUCUUAGUUAACAUAAUUAAGUUAUACAUAAUUAUAAAUUUAAUAAUAAGAGACAGAGUAAAGAGGUUAGUUUCGAUGGGGCGUCGACAUCAGCGAAAGCAUCUGAUGUGUCUAAGAAUAUAAAAUGUUUUAUUAAAUUUAUUAUAUAAUAGUAAGACAACGUACAAUAGUUCUAUAUGGUAAAUAGAGUAUAAAUAUAUAAUAAUAUAUAAAUAUAUGUAAGGAUAACAACAUAAUUGUGCGAUGAUAAUAACACUAACAAGUGGAAUUAGUACUUAAGUAGAGUGUAGUGAACAGGCAUAAUCAUUAGAUUUGGAUGUCGAUAACGGAUUAAAGUUACGCUAGGGAUAACAGGGUAAUACCGCGUGAGAGUUGAUAUCGUCAGCGGUGUUUGCCACCUCGAUGUCGUCUAGACUCGUCCUCCUGGUCGUAGCAACUAGGUAGGGUAGGACUGUUCGUCCUCUAAGGAGUCACUUGAGAUGGGUUAAUUACGACGUGAGUCAGUAAUGAUUUUAUCAUCUAUGGGUUUUUUUCUUAUUCGUUGCCUCGAGUGUACGAAAGGAUAGCGAGGUGCUUUCCUAUGGUUUUAUGUUUAUAUAUUAAACAUAUUAGCUAAGAAGGUUGUGGAUACAUAUUGAAUGCUUCUCAAAUAUUAAACCCUUCGAAUAAGUUUAAUCAUACUAGACUAGUAUGUUUAAGUUAUAAUUUAAUUAUUAAAAUUAUAAUCUUAUAAAUUAUUUCAUAUACCAUACAAUAUACUUAUUUUUAAAGGGAUCAUAGAUUAAUUGGUA
rnacentral:rRNA from 1 species